ACAAAUGUUCAUACUCAAUACACAAACAACAAGAUCAGUAUUCAAAGAUAAAAGCAAAUGUUCUUUAUAAGCUACUAGACAAGCAACAAGGAGAUGCGACCAUAUAUUCUUAAUGCUGCUUUGUAAAUAGCCAAUUCUGCAGAAUAUAAAAUGAACCAAGGGCAGAAUAGACAUUCCAUGAAAUGCCGUUCCAUUCUUGGCCUAUUCCAUGAACCAAACACCACAUAAGAGUUAUAAGAGUAUAAGACAUUACGUGGCCAAUUGGUCAUAGAAAGCAGAACUCAGUAGAACUAAAGUGAAGUUGCACACAUACAAAUUCAUGAAUUAUGUGGCAAGAGAGACUUAUUCAAUGGAAAAAUAUGGAAAUUUCUUAGAUUUACUAACUGUUAAGAGUCUCACAUUGAUAAAAUAAGAGAGGACAUAAGGGUUUAUAAGGUCAUGAGUUAGACUAGCUAAUUGAUUGGAUUCGAAUCUUUUAGUGUGGUUUGGCCCAUGUGCAUUACAGCCCAAUUGACCCAAUUGAGUGACCUUGGCCCAAUCUUAGAUUAUAACACUAUCAAAUACUUUAUAACAAAGAAAGCAUUGAUUGCAACAAAAUGAAACUGAU